CUACGGGCUGCUGCAGUGAGGAAUAUUGGUCAAUGGUCGCAAGACUGAACCAGCCAUGCCGCGUGCAGGAAGACGGUCCUAUGGAUUGUAAACUGCUUUUAUACAGGAAGAAACCCUCCCACGUGUGGGAGCUUGACGGUACUGUAGGAAUAAGGAUCGGCUAACUACGUGCCAGCAGCCGCGGUAAUACGGGGGAUCCAAGCGUUAUCCGGAAUCAUUGGGUUUAAAGGGUCCGUAGGCGGCCUUAUAAGUCAGUGGUGAAAGCCCAUCGCUCAACGAUGGAACUGCCAUUGAUACUGUAAGGCUUGAAUUUUUGUGAAGUAACUAGAAUAUGUAGUGUAGCGGUGAAAUGCUUAGAUAUUACAUGGAAUACCAAUUGCGAAGGCAGGUUACUAACAAACGAUUGACGCUGAUGGACGAAAGCGUGGGGAGCGAACAGGAUUAGAUACCCUAGUAGUC
rnacentral:rRNA from 1 species